GAUGAACGCUGGCGGCGUGCCUAAUACAUGCAAGUCGAGCGAACAGAUGAUGAUCUUUCUCCUCUGACUUUAGCGGCUCACGUGUGUGUAACACUUGUAUAACCUACCUCUAUUACUGGUAUAACUUCGUGAAACCGUUUCUAAUACCGGAUAAUAUAUUUAACCGCAUUUUUCAAUAGUUAUAUACGUUUUUUCUUUCACUUAUAGAUGGAUCCGCGCCGCAUUAGCUAGUUGGUAAGGUAACGGCUUACCAAGGCAACGAUGCGUAGCCGACCUGAGAGGGGGAUCGGCAACACGGGAAGAGAGACAAGGACAAGAGUACUAAGGGAGGGAGCAGUAGGGAAUAGGACGAAAAGGGAGAAAGAAGGAAGGAGAAAGGCCGCGUGAGUGAAGAAGGACAAGGGAGCGUAAAAAUCUGUAAGGAGGGAAGAAAAAAUGUGGAAGUAAAUAGGAAGGUAUUGACGGUAACGAAUAAGAAAGCAACGGCUAACUACGGG
rnacentral:rRNA from 1 species